rnacentral:rRNA from 1 species
AGGGCAAGUCUGGUGCCAGCAGCCGCGGUAAUUCCAGCUCCAAUAGCGUAUAUUAAAGUUGUUGCAGUUAAAAAGCUCGUAGUUGAAUUUCGGGGUUAGUAGGUUGGUCGUGCCUCAGGUAUGUACUGAUCUCACUGAUUCCUCCUUCCUGAUGAACCGUAAUGCCAUUAAUUUGGUGUUGCGGGGAAACUGGACUGUUACUUUGAAAAAAUUAGAGUGUUCAAAGCAGGCUUAUGUCUGAAUACAUUAGCAUGGAAUAAUAAAAUAGGACGGUGGUCCUGUUUUGUUGGUUUCUGAAUCACCGUAAUGAUUAAUAGGGAUAGUUGGGGGCAUUAGUAUUCAAUUGUCAGAGGUGAAAUUCUUGGAUUUAUUGAAGACUAACUACUGCGAAAGCAUUUGCCAAGGAUGUUUUCAUUAAUCAAGAACGAAAGUUAGGGGAUCGAAGACGAUCAGAUACCGUCGUAGUCUUAACCAUAAACUAUGCCGACUAGGGAUCGGAUGAUGUUAAUUUUUUAAUGACUCAUUCGGCGCCUUACGGGAA